UACAGAGGUCUCGAGCGUUGUUCGGAUUCAUUGGGCGUAAAGGGUGCGUAGGUGGUCUGGUAAGUCGGAUGUGAAAUCCCGGGGCUUAACCUCGGAACUGCAUUCGAUACUGCCGGACUGGAGUACUGGAGAGGAGAUCGGAAUUUACGGUGUAGCAGUGAAAUGCGUAGAUAUCGUAAGGAAGACCAGUGGCGAAGGCGGAUCUCUGGACAGUUACUGACACUGAGGCACGAAGGCCAGGGGAGCAAACGGG
rnacentral:rRNA from 1 species